UCUGUUCUCUAUUACACUAUAUCAUUUACCAUCUUGGUCAUUUCAUAUAUGCCGGUAUUUGUAAUGCAUUUAUCUUGCUGUGGACUGAGGGUUCGGGCUAGAAUUUAAUUUGGUGGCUUCUGACCUGUAACUUCUCCUGUUAUGUUUUACUUUGAAAUGCUUUCAACCAAUUUGGCUUGUGAGCUAUAAAUUAAUCGCCUUUUUUUGUUCUGGGUCUGAUUACUGAGCCGGGAGGGAAAAUAAAGAAAGAAUCUCAGCACCGAUUAAACUCAUUUUGACUACUGCUUCCGUGGGUAAGCCAGAGAGGAACUCAAACAUUGGCUCCCGAUCUUUUAUUUCAAUAUGGAAUUGAACUGCC
rnacentral:misc_RNA from 1 species